AGGUUCGAUCAUACCAGCAUUAAUACACCGAAUCCCAUCAAACCUCCGCAGUCAAGCGUGCUUCGGAGAGAGUAGUACUAGGAUGGGUCACAUCUUAGAAAGUCCUCGUAUUGCACCUA
rnacentral:rRNA from 2 species